UCCCUCGUAGCUCAGUGGGUAAAGAAUCUGCCUGCAAUGCAGGAGAUUCAGGUUCAAUUCCUGGGUUGGGAA
rnacentral:tRNA from 1 species